ACACUGAUGCUUUAGCCCGUGU
rnacentral:siRNA from 1 species